rnacentral:rRNA from 1 species
GACAGAGGUGCCAAGCGUUAGGCGGAAUCACUGGGCUUAAAGCGUGUGUAGGCGGGUCGUUAAGUACCUUGUGAAAUCCCACAGCUCAACUGUGGAACUGCUCGGUAUACUGGCGAUCUUGAGCCACUUAGGGGCUGUCGGAACAAACGGUGGAGCGGUGAAAUGCGCAGAUAUCGGGAGGAACACCUAUGGCGAAGGCAGCUCGCUGGGACGGUACUGACGCUGAGACGCGAAAGCGUGGGGAGCAAACAGG